ACGAACGCUGGCGGCAGGCCUAACACAUGCAAGUCGAGCGAGGACUUCGGUUCUAGCGGCGGACGGGUGAGUAACGCGUGGGAAUGUGCCCUUCUCUACGGAAUAGCCCUGGGAAACUGGGAGUAAUACCGUAUACGCCCUAUUGGGGAAAGAUUUAUCGGAGAAGGAUCAGCCCGCGUUGGAUUAGGUAGUUGGUGGGGUAAUGGCCUACCAAGCCGACGAUCCAUAGCUGGUUUGAGAGGAUGAUCAGCCACACUGGGACUGAGACACGGCCCAGACUCCUACGGGAGGCAGCAGUGGGGAAUCUUAGACAAUGGGGGCAACACUGAUCUAGCCAUGCCGCGUGAGUGAUGAAGGCCUUAGGGUUGUAAAGCUCUUUCAGCUGGGAAGAUAAUGACGGUACCAGCAGAAGAAGCCCCGGCUAACUCCGUG
rnacentral:rRNA from 1 species